CUCUAAAGCUAGGCAACUCCCAGCUAGUAAAAGAACACUCGGCCAAAAUCCACAGCAGUAUUAACCAGACUACCCUGCAAAGACGAACAUAUGAAAUUGCACGGGAGACGUUUUUUUUUAAAAAAACUUUUACAGCAGGAUGUCAAAUUCACCUGGAAAACAAACUCGGACAUCGAAAAUCAAGCAGCUCGGGGUCAAUGUGGGAGCUAUACUCCUCCACUUUGGUUGGUCCUCUACGAAUCCAUCCAGGACUCCAGCCUGGUGGUAUCCCAGUCCUAGGAUGUCUCCAAGGAUGUCCUUCUCCUUCAGCUAUGUCUGAAGGACAUUUGUGUAUGUCAACAGUUCCCUGUUGCUGGACUUCUGAGAGCUGACUACAUUGCCACCUGUCUGCUACUGCCUCUUUGAGGGGCUGUCCAGAUGCCACUCCUCCCCCAGUCUGUUAUUGCUCUUCUAAAAGACCUUCUAGGUUUCUUUCCUGUCUACUACUGCUCUUCCAUGAUGUGGAUGUCUAAACUGACACUGUUUGUUGUUUGCUACUUAAAGAAUCUUAAAGUGACACGGGGUCUCUCUUGCUUGCUGCUCAUUGCCAUGUGUUCAGUGGCACAGAGAAUUUCUAGCCACACCUUCCUUUUACCACAGGCUGCCACUCUUCUCUUAAUCUUACCAGGAUCUCUGACUGAGCCUCACACAACGUGGGCAAGUCCCUCAAGAGUCAAUCUUCAAGCCAAGCUGGAGGACUGCCUGACUUAUCUCUGGCUAGUUAAACUUGUACAGUGUCUUCCAGGCCUGGCUCUUAAGCAUAUUCUUUAUCAGCAUCUUCAUCACUAAGAAGUCUGAGACAAUAUAAUGACUACAUGUGAUCCAUGUUUUUUUAUUGUUCAAAGCUACCUUGAAUUUAAGAUCUGUAGCUAUCUGUGUUAUACUUUUCAUUGUGAAAUGCAUCCUUCUUAGGGGUGUCUAUAAAACCUUUUGUUAUUGUAUUUCUUCUUUUAAAUGUUAUUGCUUUUUUAAUCUCUUUACGUUUUAUAUCAAUCAUAAAAUGUUAGUAGAAACACAGAAACUAAAAUAAGACAACUCUGC